rnacentral:lncRNA from 1 species
GAUCUACAAGCUUGGAGGAAUCGACAAGCGUGUGAUCGAGAGGUUCGAGAAGGAAGCUGCUGAGAUGAACAAACGUUCUUUCAAAUACGCAUGGGUGCUCGACAAACUUAAGGCCGAGCGUGAACGUGGUAUUACCAUCGAUAUUGCCCUCUGGAAGUUUGAAACCACCAAGUACUACUGCACAGUCAUCGAUGCCCCCGGACAUCGUGAUUUCAUCAAGAACAUGAUUACUGGUACUUCCCAGGCCGAUUGUGCCGUUCUCAUCAUUGACUCCACCACUGGAGGUUUCGAAGCUGGUAUUUCCAAGGAUGGGCAGACCCGUGAGCACGCUCUUCUCGCUUUCACUCUUGGUGUGAAGCAAAUGAUCUGCUGUUGUAACAAGGUAAUGAAUUAAUAAUUAUUCUUGGUUGUUUUGUUAUUCAAUAUAUUUUUAUCUAUGAUGCUUACUGGUAUGAUGGUAUUUUUGUAGAUGGAUGCUACCACCCCUAAAUACUCCAAGGGUAGGUACGAGGAAAUCGUGAAGGAAGUGUCUUCAUACUUGAAGAAGGUCGGAUACAACCCAGACAAAAUCCCAUUCGUUCCAAUCUCUGGAUUCGAAGGUGACAACAUGAUUGAGAGGUCAACCAACCUUGACUGGUACAAGGGACCAACCCUUCUUGAAGCUCUUGACCAGAUCAACGAGCCAAAGAGACCCACAGACAAGCCACUCCGUCUACCACUUCAGGAUGUUUACAAGAUCGGUGGUAUUGGAACUGUGCCAGUGGGACGUGUUGAGACAGGUAUCAUCAAGCCUGGUAUGGUUGUGACCUUCGGACCAACAGGGUUGACCACUGAAGUCAAGUCUGUUGAGAUGCAUCAUGAAGCUUUGACCGAAGCUCUUCCUGGUGACAAUGUUGGGUUCAAUGUUAAGAAUGUUGCUGUGAAGGAUAUCAAGCGUGGGUAUGUUGCCUCAAACUCCAAGGAUGAUCCUGCUAAGGGUGCUGCCAGUUUCACUUCCCAGGUUAUCAUCAUGAACCACCCUGGUCAGAUCGGAAAUGGUUAUGCUCCAGUGUUGGAUUGCCACACUUCUCACAUUGCUGUUAAGUUCCAAGAGCUGUUGACCAAGAUUGACAGACGAUCAGGAAAGGAGCUUGAGAAGGAGCCCAAGUUUUUGAAGAAUGGUGAUGCAGGUAUGGUUAAGAUGAUGCCGACCAAGCCUAUGGUGGUGGAGACUUUCGCAGAGUACCCACCUCUUGGAAGGUUUGCUGUGAGGGACAUGCGUCAGACUGUUGCUGUUGGUGUGAUCAAGAGUGUUGACAA